GAUGAACGCUGGCGGCGUGCCUAAUACAUGCAAGUCGAGCGAACAGACGAGGAGCUUGCUCCUCUGACGUUAGCGGCGGACGGGUGAGUAAAACGUGGAUAACCUACCUAUAAGACUGGGAUAACUUCGGGAAACCGGAGCUAAUACCGGAUAAUAUAUUGAACCGCAUGGUUCAAUAGUGAAAGACGGUUUUGCUGUCACUUAUAGAUGGAUCGGCGCCGCAUUAGCUAGUUGGUAAGUUACCGGCUUACCAAGGCAACGAUGCGUAGCCGACCUGAGAGGGUGAUCGGCCACACUGGAACUGAGACACGGUCCAGACUCCUACGGGAGGCAGCAGUAGGGAAUCUUCCGCAAUGGGCGAAAGCUUGACGGAGCAACGCCGCGUGAGUGAUGAAGGUCUUCGGAUCGUAAAACUCUGUUAUUAGGGAAGAACAAAUGUGUAAGUAACUAUGCACGUCUUGACGGUACCUAAUCAGAAAGCCACGGCUAACUACGUG
rnacentral:rRNA from 1 species